ensembl:lncRNA
AUCCAAUUAGACACACUUAUUGGAUGCCAUGUUUAUCUGAUAAUCAAAGUGGUGGUGUGGACAGAGAAGAUAUACAAUGUUUAGGUCAGAUUAGUCCUCACUUGCUACACUACCUCAGAACUGCCGUCAAAGUGAACCAGCACAGGACUCUCAGAUGACCUGCUACACAGCUUUGUUUUUAAAUUUACAAGGCAAAAGAACAUGGAGAACAAAGACAGCAGGAUGACAACAGAAUGGAACUCAACAAUGGAAAACAGAAAGCAAUCAGAUAGCAAACAAACAAGAACUGACAUGAAAACCCAAAAAGAAACUUUAAAAAGACAAAGGCAACUGAUAUGUCAAGCAAUGGAGGAGAUCGAACAACUCUGGAGACAGACAGAAAGAAAGACAAAUGAAAUUGACUUCUUAAAGACAAAGACAGAGGGGCAACAGGAAGACAUUGAGAGACUGACAUCUGAAAAAAAUAAACAUCACCUACUAUUAAAGCAAUUUAACUUCCAAAUAAAAAAUAUAACUGAGAAACUCAAACAAAGCAAAAAUUCAGUUGCUAAGGAAAAAACAAACUUUCUGAAAACGUGGACUAAAAUAUAUCAAGAAAAGGAUACUCUGGACAGAAGACGUCAAUACUUCAUCAACGAGCGACACAAGCUAGACACUAUAAAAGCUAGUAAGACAGAAUCACCAAUAAGGGAGGAACCCAAAGAGCCCCUUAAUGAGCAGGUAAAGCGGGAACUGGAUAUACUGGAGAAUGCAACUGAGAAAAACAGGGAAAUAAUGCUUGAAGUAAAGAAAGUUAAAGAAAAAAUGGAGAAAACUAAAGCAAACAUACAGCAAGCAUUAAAAAGAAAUAAAAAGGACAUUUCAAAAAACAGUGAACAAAUUAACCACAUUAAACAUAUUAUGUAUGUAAAGAUCAACAUGGUCAAGCACAGAUGGGCAAGCAUUAUAAAACAGGCUGAAAUGAAGAAAAUUCACAUGUAUAAAGAAGGACAGAGAGAAAGAAACGAUGGAAAAGCCACAUUUGACACAGUGAAGAGAAAACUGUGUAGAAUCCAGGAAGAGAUGGAGAAACUUUGGGAUGUGCUGGAAGACAGUGAACAACAACUGGAAGUGACUCAAAGUGCAAAGCAGCAGCUAAUGGCAGAGAACAAUCACAUGAACAUCAAGAUGAAUAUUGAUUAUCAAAAGCAACAAGAUUCAGAUCUAAGCUUUAAAGUGACACACAUCCAGCCUGAAAGAGAUGAUUUAAAGAGAGUUGAAAUGAAACUAAAGACAGGAAGGGAAAAUGUAGAAAAAGACAAACCAAAUACUUACAUGCAGAAUUUGAUCUCUGAGGAAGAAGAAAACAAUGAAGUGCUUUGUAACAAGGGUGAAGAAACAAAGCAGAGCAUGAGGGACUUUACAGAAGUAAAGGCUCAAACGAAAUGGACAAAUUUUCGAGAAAAGCAAAAAAGAAGGGAGCUUGAGCGUUUGCUGGAGAAGAUAAGGAAAGAGAGGGAUGAGUUAGAAAUCAUGAAGACAAAAAUACAGCGACAAAAGGAAAGGGUUGAACAAAAACUGGAAAAUACUGUCACUGAGAUAAAAGGUAAAAUAGAAAAAACUGGUGCAGAAAUGAACAACACUUGGGAGAAAAUGCAGAGAACCCAAAGGGAGAUUAGUAAGAACCAGGAAGAAGCCAAGAACUAUAUGGAAAAACUGACAUCCAUGAAAACUUGGGUCAACAAAUGGAUAUUGGCACAAUCUACAAUCAAACAUACUUUUUCAGUGAACGCAUCCAAACUUCAAGAAUCACAGUAUGAAAUAGACACAGACUCCCUUGAGGAUCAAACAUCAGCAAUUCCAAAGGACAAAAAAGGGAAAAAAAGUAUAACAGAUACAACAUCAUUACAAAAUUCUGUAACAUUAGAUGAUCAGCAUCAAAAUAAAAAAAUAAAAGAACAACAGAAGGAGCAUUUUGAAUCCAAAUAUUGUUUUGCAGAAGGCAAAAAUGGGGAGCAGGACUUUUGCUUACAGAUGCGAACUGAAAUUCAUGAAGAAGUAGUGCAUGAUAAAACUGAAUUACUGAUAAUUGUAAGAGAAAGGGAAGAAGUGGAAAAACUGAUACGUAACCUAAAGCAGCAAGAGGGGGAAAUAAAGGAACAAAUAAAGUACACUAUUGAUAACAUGAACGAAAAAACUCAAGAUAUAAAAAGGCUCAUUUUGGAAAUAAAUGACCUGCAGAGGGCAGACACUGUAAUUACAGUCGGGGAAACUGAAAAUGCCCAGGAAGUAUUAACUAAGCUGUUGGAAGAAACUGAACAGAGAAAGAUUUUGAUGCUGAACACCAAAGUUUUCAAAAAUGAAAUAAUAAAAUAUGAAGUACAAGAGGGGGACGAUGCCAAAAAAAUAAAACAAGAGUCUAGCUUGAUAAGGCUUAAUGUUAACAAGCAAAAACUAAUUCAGAAAUCAGGAGAAGAGAUGAAAAAACAUGUUGAACACACCGAUGAAGAUAAAAAGGACAGAGGAGCCGAUAUACAAAGACUCAGGGCAGAGAUUUACAAAACACAAGAGAUUAUAAGAACGCUAAGAGGAGGACUUGAGAACCUAGCGGAAAAAAAUAACAUGGACAAAUAUCAACAGAAUGAAGGCAGUGAAAUUGAAGGAUUGCUAAAAGACAUCAAACAGUUUCAAGAGUUUUUGGAAAUUGUAAAAACCAAAAUAAAGCAAAGUGAAGUACAUAUGACAGAAGAAAUGAGCAAUAUAAAAUCAAUGAAAACUGCAGUGAAAAAGAAGAGAAGAGAAUUAGAUCAAAGAUUAGAAAAUACUUUGAAAGAGAGAGAUGGAUUAGACAUCUUUAAAAUAAAAAUGCAGAGGCAAACUGAACUGAUUCGGCAGAAUUUAGAAAAAAUGGCAAAAGUUAAGAGCACAGUCGAGAAAAUAGCUGCUAAGACCAGAAGGAAAAUUGAAGAGAUAGAAAUUAGUAUGAAGGAGACUGAAAUAAAACUAAGACAGUUUAAAGACCUUGACUGCAUUAACCUUAACUUGACAAAAGGCGCAAAACCAGACAUGGAACAUGGUAGUACACCUAAGCAAAGAACUGCUCUUGAAAUUUUCAAGACUGAAAUUAAGAAGACAAUGGACAAUAAAAGAGAUAAACUGACAAAAAACAAAAUGGACAAAGAAACUGAGGGAACAGAAAGCCUCAAACAAGUUAAUGAGAAACUGGAGGAGGUAAAACUUUCAUUAGACAGUCUGGGUCAAAAAAAUAAAAAAUCAGUUAGUGAGAAUGUAAAACAAAUAAUCAAGAGAGAAGAGACUGAGAUGACAGAACAGAUCCAAACAGCGAUAAAGAAUGAGAAAAUGGUUAAACAGCUAACUGAAACAGAAAUACAGGAGGAACAGGUGAACCAUUUGAGGGAGAAAACUGAAAGAAAAGAACAGGAGCUUGAUGACGGAGUACACAUGACCAAAAGGCAAAUAAGAGAAAUGGAGCUGCUGCAAUCAGAAUUGAAAAUAAAGGUAAAAGAAUUUGAGCGUUUUUUUAGAAAAAGUAUGAGAAAAAAGGAGGAAAUUGAAAUAAUGUGGUAUGAAAUACAACAAGAAAAGGAAGCAUUGAGGACCGAGAUCAAAAAGAAAAGAAGAGAAUUAGACCAAAGACUGGAGAUGACUAUGAGAAAAAGGGAUGAACUAGAAGUGUUAAGGGUAAAAUUGAAACGACAGAUGGAAGAGCUGGCUGAGGAGAAGCAGAGAGACCAUAAUCUGUUCAUCCAUCUACCCAAUGAACAUGAAAAACAUUUUGGAAGGAAAGAUGUGAAAAUGUUAAUGGAGAAAAUCAAAAACCACAGCUUAAAAGUUUCUCAGUAUACUAUUUACAUCCAAGACAUAAGAGACAAGUUUAAUUUACACAUGGGAACAAUUAGGACAGAGAUGAAAAUUCUAGAAAAUGUGAAUGCUCAUUUAGAAAAGGACAAAAAAGGAUUCAGAGAAGUUGAGGCUGAAAAUAAGAAUAUAACAAACAAAAUGAAGAGGUUAAAAUAUCAGCUUAAUAUACUCUUUGGAAGAGUUACCAUACAAGACACUGCAGAGAUGGAUGAAACAAUCAACAUCUGGGAAAAAAUCCAAAGAGAAAAACAGAAGCUUGAUAUGAGACUAGAAAAUAUUAAAAGGGAAAGACAAGAGAUAGAAGUUCUGGUGGUUGAGCUGGAGAUGAAGAAAAGAGAAAACCAACGUGUAAUCAAAAGAAGCAUUCAAAAAGAACAGAAGAUAAAAAGAAUAUGGGCUACUUUCAAAGAAGAAAGAACUGCCCUCGUGAGAGAAACAAAGCAGAAAAAGGAGGUUGAACAACGACGAGAGGAGAUCAUCAAACAUCAAGGUGAACAAGAAAUAAAGCAGAAGUUGCAAAAAGAAAAGAAAGGGAUGCAAAGUGAAAUUGAAGACAUGAGGAUGAAAGAAAAAAGGAAACAAAUUCAAAAACAAUGGGAACUAAUCAAGAAAUACUUAGGGGAAUAUAAAAAGGUAAUUAAAAACACUCAAUUCAUCAUUGGAAUAAUUCAGAAUGAAAAUAAACACAUGCAAGACCAAAAAAAUUUCUACAUGACCAAAAGGAAAGAAACACUGAAUAUUAAAAGUGAAUUAAAUAGGCAAAAGGAAAUUAUACGGUGUGCAUUAAAAAACAUACAACAAGAGCCAAAACAUGGGGAACAAGUGGAGACAAAAAUCAAGACGGAGCAAGGAAAGCAUGAAAAUGAAAGGGAAAAAAUAUAUGAGAUAGAAAAAGAUGCCUUGGAUGACUUAAGUGCAGACGAGAGUCAAGACAAAGAGGAUCUUGAAAGAGUGAAAGAGUUGUUGAAAAAGAACCAGAAACUUGACAUGAGAGGCUGUAAAAUCAAAAAAGAAAUAGACAUAUUAAAACAAAAAAAUGAAAACAUAAAAGAGGAAAGGAAAACAACUGAAAUAAAAGAAACUGAAAAAAAAAUGAAACUGAAAGAUUUCAAUAAAAUGUUUUGGGGCAAACAAAAAGAAAAACACAGUACUGAGUAUCUGACUGUAAAGAAAGAAUAUAAAAGAGAAACGACUAAGGAUGGUAUAAAAAGGGUGAUCUUACAAGACACAAAACAAGACUUGAUAAAAAAAGAGAUAAAAAAAUGUAACCAGGAAAAAGAAAAAGUCAUCCAGAUGAAAACUAGACGUGAGAAUAGAAAAGAACUGUUGUUGAAGGUAAGGAGAAACAUCAAAGAUGAAGAGAAAGAGAUGGAAAUGAGAGGAGACCAAGUCAUGGAUGAAAUGAAAUCGCUAGAGAUUCUGAAAGUGAAACUUCAACAACUGAAGGGGGAUAUAAAAGCCAAAAUGGAGAGAUUACUACAAAAUGUUGACAACAGGUCAAGGCUGCAAACAGUGUUGGAAGAAAAACUUCCAACCCAAGACGAACUGAAAGAAAGCAUUCGCUGUUUCACUGAAAUGUUAGAGAGAGAAAAGGAAGGUGUGAGAAGUAUCCUUUCAGACAUGGUCACCAAGAGAGAAUGCACAGAAAAUGAAUGGAAGCAGCAGUUUGAACUGGACAAACGAGAGCUUGAUAAAGUGAAAGAAGAUCUGAGACACGACAGAGAAGAUCUGGAGAGAGAAAGUGAGGUGCUGAAUAAAGAGAAAAUGGAUUUGAAGGUGUUGAUGUCUGACAUCAUGAAACAAUUUGAAAUAUUGGAAGAAAAGAAACAAAAUAUAAAAGAAGAACGAGACUCAAUGGAAACCAUAAAGCUUGAACUGCUCAAUAAGAUGGAACAUGUAAACAGGCUGUUACAUGAGACAAAUGACGAAAAAGCCAAGAUUAAAAAUUGUAUCCUUCAGGUUCAAAUGGAAAAAGAAAGACUUGAAGACAUUUUAAGCAAGAUUUUCUUAACACAUAAUGAAGAAAAAGUCAAGGAAUAUGGCCUCAGAAGACAAACAAAAGAAGUGGAAAUCAUGAAAAAGGAAUUACAGAGUGAAAGAGCAAAAGUGGAGAGUCUGAUGAGGAAUCUGAAGAAGAAGCAAGAAGAGCUUGAACGUGCAAAGGAAAUCAUGAGUGGAGAAAAAGAAGAGAUGAAAGAGAUGAAGACUGACAUUGCCAAAGAACGAGAACUGUUGUUGAAGGAAAGGAGAAAUAUGGAAGAAGAGCGGUCUGAGAUGGAAAUGAGAGGAGACCAAGUCAUGGAUGAAAUGAAAUUGCUAGAGAUUCUGAAAGUGAAACUUCAACAACUGAAGGAGGAUAUAAAAGCCAAAAUGGAGAGAUUACUACAAAAUGUUGACAACAGGUCAAGGCUGCAAACAGUGUUGGAAGAAAAACUUCCAACCCAAGACGAACUGAAAGAAAGCAUUCGCUGUUUCACUGAAAUGUUAGAGAGAGAAAAGGAAGGUGUGAGAAGUAUCCUUUCAGAAAUGGUCACCAAGAGAGAAAGCACAGAAAAUGAAUGGAAGCAGCAGUUUGAACUGGACAAACGAGAGCUUGAUAAAGUGAAAGAAGAUCUGAGACACGACAGAGAAGAUCUGGAGAGAGAAAGUGAGGUGCUGAAUAAAGAGAAAAUGGAUUUGAAGGUGUUGAUGUCUGACAUCAAGAAACAAUUUGAAAUAUUGGAAGAAAAGAAACAAAAUAUAAAAGAAGAACGAGACUCAAUGGAAACCAUAAAGCUUGAACUGCUCAAUAAGAUGGAACAUGUAAACAGGCUGUUACAUGAGACAAAUGACGAAAAAGCCAAGAUUAAAAAUUGUAUCCUUCAGGUUCAAACGGAAAAAGAAAGACUUGAAGACAUUUUAAGCAAGAUUUUCUUAACACAUAAUGAAGAAAAAGUCAAGGAAGAUGAACUCAGAAGUCAAACAAAAGAAGUGGAAAUCAUGAAAAAGGAAUUACAGAGUGAAAGAGCAAAAGUGGAGAGUCUGAUGAGGAAUCUGAAGAAGAAGCAAGAAGAGCUUGAACGUGCAAAGGGAAUCAUGAGUGAAGAAAAAGAAGAGAUGAAAGAGAUGAAGACUGACAUUGCCAAAGAACGAGAACUGUUGUUGAAGGAAAGGAGAAAUAUGGAAGAAGAGCGGUCUGAGAUGGAAAUGAGAGGAGACCAAGUCAUGGAUGAAAUGAAAUUGCUAGAGAUUCUGAAAGUGAAACUUCAACAACUGAAGGAGGAUAUAAAAGCCAAAAUGGAGAGAUUACUACAAAAUGUUGACAACAGGUCAAGGCUGCAAACAGUGUUGGAAGAAAAACUUCCAACCCAAGACGAACUGAAAGAAAGCAUUCGCUGUUUCACUGAAAUGUUAGAGAGAGAAAAGGAAGGUGUGAGAAGUAUCCUUUCAGAAAUGGUCACCAAGAGAGAAAGCACAGAAAAUGAAUGGAAGCAGCAGUUUGAAUUGGACAAACGAGAGCUUGAUGAAGUGAAAGAAAAUCUGAGACACGACAGAGAAGAUCUGGAGAGAGAAAGUGAGGUGCUGAAUAAAGAGAAAAUGGAUUUGAAGGUGUUGAUGUCUGACAUCAAGAAACAAUUUGAAAUAUUGGAAGAAAAGAAACAAAAUAUAAAAGAAGAACGAGACUCAAUGGAAACCAUAAAGCUUGAACUGCUCAAUAAGAUGGAACAUGUAAACAGGCUGUUACAUGAGACAAAUGACGAAAAAGCCAAGAUUAAAAAUUGUAUCCUUCAGGUUCAAACGGAAAAAGAAAGACUUGAAGACAUUUUAAGCAAGAUUUUCUUAACACAUAAUGAAGAAAAAGUCAAGGAAGAUGAACUCAGAAGUCAAACAAAAGAAGUGAAAAUCAUGAAAAAGGAAUUACAGAGUGAAAGAGCAAAAGUGGAGAGUCUGAUGAGGAAUCUGAAGAAGAAGCAAGAAGAGCUUGAACGUGCAAAGGGAAUCAUGAGUGAAGAAAAAGAAGAGAUGAAAGAGAUGAAGACUGACAUUGCCAAAGAACAAGAACUGUUGUUGAAGGAAAGGAGAAAUAUGGAAGAAGAGCGGUCUGAGAUGGAAAUGAGAGGAGACCAAGUCAUGGAUGAAAUGAAAUUGCUAGAGAUUCUGAAAGUGAAACUUCAACAACUGAAGGAGGAUAUAAAAGCCAAAAUGGAGAGAUUACUACAAAAUGUUGACAACAGGUCAAGGCUGCAAACAGUGUUGAAAGAAAAACUUCCAACCCAAGAUGAACUGAAAGAAAGCAUUCGCUGUUUCACUGAAAUGUUAGAGAGAGAAAAGGAAGGUGUGAGAAGUAUCCUUUCAGACAUGGUCACCAAGAGAGAAUGCACAGAAAAUGAAUGGAAGCAGCAGUUUGAACUGGACAAACGAGAGCUUGAUGAAGUGAAAGAAGAUCUGAGACACGACAGAGAAGAUCUGGAGAGAGAAAGUGAGGAGCUGAAUAGAGAGAAAAUGGAUUUGAAGGUGUUGAUGUCUGACAUCAAGAAACAAUUUGAAAUAUUGGAAGAAAAGAAACAAAAUAUAAAAGAAGAACGAGACUCAAUGGAAAUCAUAAAGCUUGAACUGCUCAAUAAGAUGGAACAUGUAAACAGGCUGUUACAUGAGACAAAUGAAGAAAAAGCCAAGAUUAAAAAUUGUAUCCUUCAGGUUCAAAUGGAAAAAGAAAGACUUGAAGACAUUUUAAGCAAGAUUUUCUUAACACAUAAUGAAGAAAAAGUCAAGGAAGAUGACCUCAGAAGACAAACAAAAGAAGUGGAAAUCAUGAAAAAGGAAUUACAGAGUGAAAGAGCAAAAGUGGAGAGUCUGAUGAGGAAUCUGAAGAAGAAGCAAGAAGAGCUUGAACGUGCAAAGGGAAUCAUGAGUGAAGAAAAAGAAGAGAUGAAAGAGAUGAAGACUGACAUUGCCAAAGAACAAGAACUGUUGUUGAAGGAAAGGAGAAAUGUGGAAGAACAGCAGUCUGGGAUGGAAAUGAGGGGAGACCAAGUCAUGGAUGAAAUGAAAUCACUAGAGAUUCUGAAAGUGAAACUAAUUGCGAGGAAAUCCCUGAAAGGUGAACUGUCUGAUGUACAACCCAGAGAGGACAUCCUCAGUAGUGUUACAAUCUCUACAAGAAACCUUAUAGGAAAACUAAAUAGACUGAUUCAUCAAGACUUGCCGACAUAUAUUAAGAGAGUAGAGGGGGAAAAUGAAAAAAUAUUACAAGUGAUCUCCACAUAUGAACAAAAUUGGGUCAGAAUUUAUAAGCAGAAAAUUAAAAUUACUGCAGAUUAUGACAAGAUACAACAACAAAAGAAACAUGUGUUUAAGACAACAUUUGACAAAGCAAUCCAAACUGAGGAUGUUGUAAAACAAUGCUUACAUGAGCAUCAGGAUGAAGAGACCAAUGAACAUGAAUUUAAGCAGAGGAUGAAGGAUGUUGCAGUUAAUCUUGAAGGAAGCAAAAGAUACUUGACACCUGACAAGGAAGGUCUGCUGUUAGUAGGAGAAGGUGAAGAAUUUGGAAAUGUCAAGAAAACAAAUCUUGCAACGUUGUCCAUCUUGUCAGCAGAGGAAGAUGACUUCACACAGAAGGGAAUUUUAAAAACUGAGUUUUUGAAACAAAUCUGGAAGGACACUAGAAUAGAACGAAAUGAAAUAAAUCAGAUGAAGCUCAGAGGUCAAGAAAUGAGAAACAAUAUGGAUAAAAGAGUAAAGGUGAUCAAUCAUUUUGUUAGGAGAUCAAUAUUUCAGAAAGAAAAGACAUCAGUUGAGAAAACAAGAAAAAUGUUGGAACAUGGGCAAAGUAAUACGUUUUUAUCUGUAAGUGGCAGGGAUGGAGAACACAAAUCACUUGAUGAAAAAUAUACCGAGCUCCAACAACUUAAGGUCCGCAUGCUUAGUGAGAUUGAGAAAUUCUACAUACAAAACAAAGCGUCUAAGACACUGACAACUAGCAACAAAGCUAAUCAAACAGUUCAACUAGAUUCUCCAAAUAUCUAUCAAGAGCAAAUAAAGGUAGAAGAAUCUGAAGCAGCACCAGAGAGAUCUCCUGGACUCCUCAGUCAGCUCAGACUUUCCUGUUAUCGCUGUUGCUCCCGUUAUUGUGCCUACUGCAAGCAAGGAUGUAUAAAGAAAAAAUGAGAGGCAAGAAAAGUGCUACAUAAAAAUCAGUCCAUUUACCUUUUGUUUUACUUUUUAGUUAUAUUAAUAUGUGUGUAUUUGGAAAAUGUGUUUUUCCCGUUAAUCAUAUUAACCUAACAACGUAAGAGUACCAGUCUGAUGUCAAUCAUCUAAUUUUUAAACAACUAGUUAUGUAAUGUAAAAGUAUUCCUUUAACAUGUUAUUUUUUUCACAAAUGCAAAAUAUUAAAGUUUAACAGAUAAUCUUAACAUUUCUAAUUACAUUUUUAUGCUGAUUUCUAAUUAAUCUUCUUUCAACAUAUUUAUUCUGUUGUCUUGUGUUAGAAUACAGAAGCACAAAGAAUACAGUAAAAUCAAAACUAACAAGAAUAUUUGAAAACUGUGACUCCAUAUAUAUUCAUAUUUAAAUGAAAGAAAAAUGCAUGUUUAACAUAAAUUUGAUCCCUAAAUAAAUCUUUUUCCAAAACCAUUCACAUCACUGCAAUAUUUUUCUUUUGGUAAAUUUCGAAUUAUAUAAGAACCCAAUUGUUUGAAACAUUAUUUAAAUUAAUUACACAGUUAAUUGUAAAUUGACAAAUUAAAUAUAAAACUCAUGCCAUCUAAUUAUCUUCAUUGGGGUAUAUCAUGUACACAUACAUAUAUAUAUAUAUAUAUUUAUAUGUCAUAUAUAAACCCUUUGUCACGGCUGCCGAGGCGAGCCGUGUGGUGUAGAAGGGAGAAAGGACCCAAAACGCAGGCAGUAGAUGAUAAUGCUAGUGAUGUUUUAUUUACACAGUGGUGAGAUGGCAAAACAGGCAAAGAAGGAAGACAAAACUAAAGACCUACACUGGGAAAGCUAAAUGACAAACCUGAGAGGGUUCCAGAAUGGGGGAGAGGCAGUGACGAACCGGCAACAGGCAGGAGAACAUCAAAGCUGACGGGACAGGGGAAACGUAAACUGAACACACUCACAUGAGAUAGAGACCUUCAGAAUAAAACAGGAAACUCACAGACACAGAACUGGACAAGACGCUGAACUAAACAGACAGAUUCACACACAGACAGUGUGACACCAUAGACAGACAGAACACAGAAGUGGAACCAGGGAAAGCACAGAACAGAAACCUAACAAAUGGCAAUUCGUAACAGAAUAUGUAUAAAUGAACAAAAGCAUAAAGAAACAUAAAACACUGAGUCGGCAGACUCAGGACCAUGACACCCUUUGCUACGGUAGUAUAGACCUGGAAAGUGUAGACAAAAUAAACAACACUUGAUUCUGUAACUUGCCUGAUUCUUCAAUACAAUUUUUAUUGUGUUUUUAGUGAAAUGAUUUUCUAUAUAAUAUUUAGAAAAUCCUUAUUAGAAUUCAGAAUCUUUUUUCAAAAGAUUUUAGAAAGUUCUUUCAAUCUUGGGAAAGAGGACCAAUAAGACAACAGGCCUAGUUAGAUCUUUAAAUGAACCCAGCUUCAUUUGUUGAUCUAUCCAACAAGGUUAUAAUGGUUGACACCCUAUCUGAAGCCGAGAUUCUAAUAAUUAAUCCUUUAGGUCAGUGGUUCUCAAACUUUUCACAAUGAGUACCACCGUAUAAAAUAUAUGGUUCUUAAAGUACCACCCUUAUGCCCGACAUUAAAGUACAGUAGUAUAGGCCUAUUUAACACCAUAUACAGUUUACACAAGACAAUUUUAUUUCUUAUAUGGAUGUUAUUUAUUUUAACUGUCAUAAACAGGAUGCGACAAGUGAUAUAAUAACAACUGUACUGCAUUAAGACAUCAAAGCAGGUGGGAUAUCCGGUCUUUAAGUGAUGACAUAUGAACCCUGCUUCCAGGUCCAAACUACUCUGUGUUUAUUAAAGCUGUUGUGUCUUAAUGCUUUGUAUCUUUUUCUAUUUAAUCUGAACAAGCCCCUAAAAAAAGUCAGUGAUCACUGUCGACCUCUCUCAGUUUUUAUUAUCACUAUUCAUUUUAAAGCUCAGUUUUUAAAACCUUACGAUGCAAUUACAGCCCAGCCCAUGCAGCAAUACAUUAAUGACUAACCUCGUUAAAUAUUCAGGAAUUAGAAAAAAACAUCAAAUCACUAGAAGAAGCCUACGCGUCCCACCAAGAUCAGGAAACAUUGAACAAAAUACGCAAAACAAAACUAGAAUUAAAUGAGAUAAUUGAUAAAAAAACAAAAUUCUUAGUACAAAGACUACGCCUACAAAAUUAUGAACAUGGUAAUAAAUCCGGUCAAUUUCUAGCAAACCAGCUAAAAAUAAAUAAAGAAAAAACAACUAUAUGUGCUGUUCAAGAUUCAUCUGGGAACACAAUAUAUGAUCCGAUACAAAUAAACAACAUUUUCAGGGAUUUCUAUAAAACGUUGUAUUCACCACAAAUAAACCCAUCUAAAAAAGAAAUUGAUCAGUUUUUGGACAACAUAACUCUUCCAAAAUUAUUGGACACUCAAGCAAUGGCACUGGAUUCACCACUGACACCAGGUGAACUCCAAGAAGCCCUGAUAAGUAUGCCCAAUAAUAAGGCUCCAGGUCCAGACGGCUUUCCUGCAGAAUUCUACAAAGAAUUCUGGUCGAUUCUAGCACCAGUUUUCUACAGAACGUUGUUGGAAAUUAAAGAAAAGGGCAGACUUCCAUCAAAUAUGAAUUCUGCAAACAUUAAUCUCCUGCUAAAACCAGGCAAAGACCCUGUAUAUCCCUCAAGCUAUCGUCCAAUAUCCCUUAUAAACGUAGACCUUAAAAUAAUCUGCAAAGCUCUCUCAAAGAGACUGGAGAAAAUAACCCCCCUCUUAAUUCAUCCUGACCAAACUGGUUUCAUAAAAGGUAGGCACUCAUCAACAAAUACACGUAGAUUACUUAAUUUGAUAGACUACUCAUACAGUAAAAACCUAGAAACUACAAUAUUCUCUUUAGACGCAGAAAAAGCAUUCGACAGUUAACUGGAAAUUUCUAUUUGCAACUUUACACAAAUUUGGUUUUGGAUCCUCUUUCAUAAACUGGUUAAAAAUAUUAUAUAAUUCCCCAACAGCUUGUGUUAGAACAAAUGACCAGACAUCCUCCAGCUUCUGUCUCUUGAGGGGCACCAGGCAGGGAUGCCCACUCUCCCCUUCACUGUUUGCAAUUUUUAUUGAACCACUAGCAGCAGCAAUUAGA